UUGAAAAACACCCAAACAUAAAACGCAUCUAUUUAGUUGCUAAAUCUAACAGAUCCAGCUAUGUAUAUAUACAUCACUGUUUCCUCUGCGUUCGCAAAUCGAUUUUGUAGUUGAUACUUGUUCGAUAUUAACAGCAAUAAUAGUAAUGUGUAGGAUAUUCCUUUUCUGUACGUUCGUUUAAGAAUGCCACACAUGCAAGGAUCAUGGAUUUCUCCUUCUGCAUAUUCUUUUAUUCUUUUAUUUCUUUCAGUCAUUUGACUGUGGCCAUGCUGCAGCACCGCCUUUAGUCGAACAAAUCGACUCCAGGACUUAUUCACUGUAAGACUAGUACUUAUACUAUCGGUCUCUUUGCUGAACCGCUAGAUUAGGGGAACGUAAACACACCAACAUCGGUUGUCAAGCGAUGUUGGGGAUAAACACAGACACACAAGCAUACACACACACACAAACACACACACACACACACAUACACACACACACACACAAACAUAUAUAUAUAUAUGUCGAGGUUCACUCAGUUUCCGUGUACCAAAUCCACUCACAAAGCUUUGGUCGGCCCGAGGCUAUAGUAGAAAACACUUGCCUAAGGUGCUACGCUGUAGGACUGAACUUGGAACCACGCGGUUGGAGAGCGAAGUUACUUUGGCUCUAUCUGGUGCAAUGGUGAAGGUGGCUGCGUGGUGAUGGCUGUGGUAGUGGUGGAAAGAUGUUUGGGCAAAAGUGGUGAAUAUAAAGACAGAAAAUUUCCCAUCUGACAAUCUCUUAUCAAUUUCGGGCAAAGUGAAAAAUAAUGAAUCAACACGACUUCGAUUAACUACAGACGCGUUUCGAAACUAAAGUAAUUAUUUUACUUACUUUCCGUCAUCAGUGUAGCAUUUCCAUUAUAAAAUUUGAAAGUGCUAGGGUUAAAUUCGUACACGAUUGAGCGACAUCGUGCAACAGAUAUCCAACCAACACUUCCAAAGUUUACACAGCCGAAUGUGAAUACAUAUUUAUCCCUUGUACCCACGUGUAUGUUACGAGCAGUACCGCGGAAAACUGCAGUAUUUGAUCAGGGAGUAAAUUAUAAUUCAAUAUUAAUAAUAAAAGGGUAAA